AUAUUUUUUAUUAAAUGUUUGUUAUAUCUAUAUUGUUUAUGGUAAAAAAAGAAUAAAUAAACAAAAUGUAUUUGUCACUAGUUGUCACCCGUUUGUCGUAAAUAAAAACUCCUAAAGCAAACACGCAUUUUAACUGAAUCAAUUCCUACGAAACUACCAUCAAGCUUAAUAUCAAAAACAUAGUGGUCCUUCGAGCCGGAUUUACGAACCGAGCUAAUUGCAAAAAACAAGUUAUCGAAGAUAUCGGCCGGCCAACGAGAACAAUAGCGACAUCGCAUUCCGAAGGUCCGUCAUUAAUGAAUGAAUAGAAGCAAAAAAAGGUGCAAUGACUACUAAGGAGCUAAUAAACGUUUUAGAAGACACAGCUGCUUUAUUACAAAAAACGCAAGUAAACAUUAAGAAAUGUCCUAAAACCAGGCUGACAAAAGGUUACGUCGAAGCAAGAAUAAAAUGUAUAGACGAAUAUUGGACAACAUUCAGAGAAUCUCAUCAACAAUUAGUCAAGAUAACAACGAAAGAACAAAAACAAACGUUAAAUUACUUCGUUAACGAGGAUUUCUAUACUUAUGAAGAUUUAUAUCUUGUGUUAUUAGCCGACUUGCAAGACCUUUUGUCGACGAUAAACGCAUCGUCCCUACCCACAUCAUCGAAAAAUAAUUCAUUUACAAAUACGACUAAUGAUCAACUCGUUAGGCUGCCGAGGAUACAACUACCAAGAUUUAGUGGGAAUUAUGAAGAUUGGCCUACCUUUCAAGACUUAUUUAUUUCAUUAGUUCAUGAAAACACGGCGAUUAGUGAUGUUCAAAAGUUACACUAUUUGAAGAGUAGUGUCACUGGAGAGGCCGAGGUGUUAUUGAAACCUAUUCAAAUAACUCAAAGUAAUUAUGAACAAGCAUGGAGUGUUCUCAAAACCAGAUACGGUAAUAAAAGAUUGAUUAUCAAUUCAGUUUUAAAGAAAUUAUUUUCGCAAAGAAAAAUAAAUACUCAAUCUGCAAAUCAAAUAAAGAGUUUAUUGGACGUUACAACGGAUUGCUUAAACAACUUACAAAACUUAAAUAUAAUUACGAGCUCUUGGGAUCCUAUAAUCAUUUUUAUAGUGAUUCAGAAAAUGGACACAGAGACUCACAAAGAAUGGGAACAAACCGUUUGUACAAAUGAAGACGAUAAAUUACCUACCUGGGAUGACUUAAGACAGUUCAUGCAAUCAAAAUACCGUACCUUAGAACUUGUAAUGUCAACAUCGGGCCUCCGUGAGAAGUCUAUCAAAGAGCGUUCACACUUUGUUACUGCUACAGCCUCAACUUCACCAUCGUCGGGAGAUAGAAAAUGCGUGCUAUGUAAAGAAAGCCAUACCUUAUGCCACUGUAAGGAGUUCUGCAAACUGCAACCUGCUGAGAGAGCUGAAUAUGUUAAGUCAAACAAACUUUGCUUUAAUUGUUUGGUACCAGGACAUUCCGCAUACCUAUGUAAAUUGCGAGUCUCAUGUCGUAUAUGCAGUCGACGUCAUCACACUCUGCUACACCGAUCUAAGGACGCUACUUCUUCGGUACAAUCUGAGGACACUGAACAACCGAAAGUAGUACAACACGGCGUAGAAGAGAAGGAGGAACUAGUCAACACUACAAUCGCGUCGCAUCACAGUACCAAACUAAGCACAAGUCUAGCACUACUGGCCACGGCAACAGUUUUAGCAAGGAACGAACAUAAUCACACUGUUGUUCUACGUGCACUGGUAGACCAAGGUUCGCAGGCAUCAUUCAUUAGCGAGAAGGCGACACAACUACUUAAAUUAACCAGGCGUACAGCAAGAGGAAGUAUCAUUGGAGUGGGAUCUACAAAAACUAACGUCAAUCACGUGGUACAACUAAGGAUUGGUUCUCGAUUGCAUUCAAGCUUCGAGAUCAACAUUGAAGCAUACGUCAUGAGUAAACAGUUAACCACGAAAAUCCCUUCCAAAGCUGUUACUGUCACACAUUGGCCACACCUAGAGGGACUCAACCUGGCUGAUCCGGAGUAUCACAAACCGGGUCCAAUAGACUUGCUCCUUGGUGUUAAAGAGUAUGCACAAAUCGUGCAGCAACAAUUAAUCAAAGGUCCUCCGGGUUCUCCAUGUGCACAAGAAACAAACCUGGGAUGGAUUCUGUUUGGAGAAAUCAAUACCAGUGUAAGAGAAGAAAGUUUUCUGGUCCUUCAUCAACAAAUAGAAGUAGAAAACAUGUUAAAAUCCCUUUGGGAAAUUGACACAGACAAGAAAAGAAAAUUAACAAGAGAAGAAAAGCUAUGUGAAGCUAUAUAUGAAAAAAAUCAGACAAGAACAAAAGAAGGAAGAUAUGUAGUAAGCUUACCAUUUAAAACUGAAAAUCCCUUAUCUCCCAAUGGAAACACUAAAGAAAUAGCAAGAAAGAGACUACUACAGCUUGAAAGAAGAUUCAGAAAAGAGCCUACACUAAAAGAAAACUAUCAAAAGGCCAUGCAAGAAUAUAUAAAAUCAAACUACAUGGAAGAAAUACCUGAAAAUGAAAUUAAUAAAAACAAAUCUGUGUACUUACCUCAUCACGCAGUUGUCCGCGCUGACAGAGAAACUUCAAAGACACGCGUCGUAUUUGAUGCUUCGGCUAAAGGGUCGAAUAACGUUUCUCUCAAUGAUGAGCUACUUGUAGGUCCUCAACUGCAAGACGACCUUAGAGAUAUUGUUAUGCGAUCGAGAGUAUAUCGUGUCUGCUAUGCCAGUGACAUCCAGAAGAUGUAUCUUCAGGUUUUACUACACAAACAAGACGCCGAUACAUAUCAUCGCCUUCUGUGGCGAGAAGAAGAAUCAGAUCCAAUCAAAGAAUACCGUAUGCUUCGUGUUACUUUUGGUACAGCUUCAGCACCCUAUCUAACAGUCAGAACUCUUCAUCAAGUGGCUGACGAUGAAGGUGAAAACCAUCCAGAAGCCGUACGAGUUAUCAAAUCAGAUUUUUAUAUGGAUGAUCUGAUCUCAGGCGAGGAUACGGCAGAGAAAGCUAUACAGACAGCUCAAGAAGUGUCAUCUAUACUGCAAAAAGGUGGCUUCAUAUUAUCAAAAUGGUCUUCGAAUUCUAUGGAGUUUAUGCAAUCUAUAGAAGCCAAUAAGAGAACAACACGAGUACACUUAGAUUUAAAAUUAGAUGGAACUGUGCAAGCUCUAGGUUUGAUCGGGAAUCUAGGAACAGAUCAAUUUCAAUAUAAAAUAAACUUACUUCCAGUGUCAGAUAAAAUUACAAAAAGAACAAUCUUAUCUGACAUGCAGAAAUUGUUCGAUCCUCUGGGAUGGAUCGCUCCGAGUUUGAUCUUGGCUAAAAUGUUAAUACAAAAAUUAUGGUUGGAAAAGACUGGCUGGGACGACAAAAUAAGUCAAAACCUGAUUGACGAGUGGUUGACUAUCCGUAAGGACUUUGAAGGAGUAAAAGAAGUACAUAUUGAUCGAUGGCUUGGCACAUUAACGACUGAGGUAGACAAAAUAGAAAUUCAUGGCUUCAGCGACGCUUCCACGCGAGCAUACGCAGCAGUAGCUUACGUCCGAAUAAAGAUGCGGGAUGGCUCAGUGUCAACAAAACUGCAAGCAGCUAAGACUAGAGUGGCACCGCUACGAACUGUGUCACUACCACGGUUGGAGUUAUGUGGAGCGCUGUUACUGUCGAGAUUGCUUAAGCAAAUACAACAAGCCAUGCGAAUACCUACCGUAAACAUCUAUGCAUGGACAGAUUCAACCAUCGUCCUUGCGUGGUUAUCAGGCGAUCCCCACAAAUGGAAGACAUUUAUAGCAAACCGGGUUGUAGAGAUAGCUGAAAAUGUAAAUAACAACCGGUGGUUUCAUGUCUCAUCUGAAGACAAUCCUGCAGACAUUGGGUCACGGGGUAUGUUAAUAGUUGAUCUAAAAAAGUCCAAUUUGUGGUGGAAGGGUCCAGCUUGGCUCUCUGAAACAGAAAUAACAUUAAAACAAGAAUAUGAAUCUACUGAUUUAGAAAGAAAAAGGGAUACAAUACAAGCAAAUUUAAAAGUAAAUAUUGAAGAAGGCCUAACGUCACAGUUUAAUGAGUUUACUAAUUUACAAGAACUGAUACAAGUAAUAACAUAUUGUCGAAGAUUUUUAAAUUUUAAGAGAAGCUUAGAAAACUUGGAGAAGAACUUUACUACAAAGGAAUUAGAAAAAUCACUUAUGAAAUGCAUAGAAUUAGUACAACAACAAGAAUUUAAAGAUGAUAUAGAAAGGAUAAAAUCAAAUAAAGCAUUAAAAGGAGAAAGUAAAAUUAAAACAUUAAAUCCUUACCUUGACGAAGAUGGUAUCCUCAGGGUGGGCGGUCGACUUCGUAAAGCGAAUUUGGAUGAGCAGGUUAAACAUCCUGUUAUAUUAGGAAACAAGAACACUUUGGUGCCUUUGGUUAUCGCCGACGCACAUGCUCGCACACUGCACGGUGGUGUUCAACUUAUGUUAAGUUACAUAAGCUCAAGGUAUUGGAUUGUACGAGCCAAGGCACUUAUAAAAUCCUGCAUACACAAGUGUCUUAUAUGUGCUAGACUAAAAGCGAAAUCAAGAACACAAUUAAUGGGUGACCUACCUAAAGUGCGAGUCACUCCUGCUCGAGCUUUCCUACACACCGGAGUUGAUUUUGCAGGCCCAUUUAAUAUAAGCAUGUCUAAAGGAAGAGGCAUCAGAACUCAGAAGGCAUACAUCUGCGUAUUCAUAUGUAUGUCAACCAAGGCAAUGCACCUUGAGUUGGUAAGCGAUUUAACCUCUGAGGCCGGCGUAAAAUCAGUAAAACACCAUUUGAAACGUAUUCUGACCACCAAUCUAACCUAUGAAGAAAUGACUACGGUGUUGUGCCAAAUUGAGGCUUGUCUCAAUUCUAGGCCGUUGUGUCCUAUCGAUGAUAAAGAUCCAGACUGCAUAGAAGUCCUUACACCUGGACACUUCCUUAUUGGUGAAGCUCCUAUCGUGGUACCGUCACCUAACUUCAAAAACAUAAAUAUGCAUUGCCUAUCGCGGUGGCAGUAUACUCAAAAGUUGCUUGGCGAUUUCUGGCGACGUUGGCAACAAGAAUACUUGACAAGAUUACAACAACGUCCCAUUUGGUUAAAGAAAUCAGAAGAGUUCAAAAUCGGUGAUGUUGUCUUGAUAAAGACCGACGGAUUACCGCCAGGAAAGUUUUCACUGGGUCGUGUGGUAGAUAAGCAUCCCGGAAAAGACGGCAUUACUAGAGUCUAUAGUAUCAAAAGUGGCAACAGCGUAGUGAAGAGAUGCUGUUCCAAGUUGUGCGCAUUGCCAAUUGAAAAUGAAUGAAGUUUAUGCUAAAUUUCACAUAAAAUACUCUUAAGACUAUUAUGAUUAGUUUAAUAAGUAUAGUAAUAGUAAAUAUCCAUUUUAAGAUUUCCUAUUGUUAUGUUUAGAAAAGAACUAUGUCCUUUUGGUGGGCGGCAUGUUAUAUCUAUAUUGUUUAUGGUAAAAAAAGAAUAAAUAAACAAAAUGUAUUUGUCACUAGUUGUCACCCGUUUGUCGUAAAUAAAAACUCCUAAAGCAAACACGCAUUUUAACUGAAUCAAUUCCUACGAAACUACCAUCAAGCUUAAUAUCAAAAACAAUGUUUUUGUUUGGCAUUUCCAUUUUAGGGAUUGAUUUUUAAAGCCAUUCCUUUGGACUGGUUCGUGAACGAGAUGCUGAACAAUCCAGAUUUCGCGCGAUCUGUGGUCCGCAAGUUCAUUGACCUCAAUCAGGACGGCAUGCUAUCAUCGGAGGAGCUAUUAAGGAACGUCGUUUAAAUACAUAUUUAGUUAAUUACCUAUAACUUGAGAGCCCUAUCAUUUGAUCUGUAACUGCAUGCAAAGUAAAUAUAUGAAUAUAUAUCAUUAAAA